rnacentral:rRNA from 1 species
UACGGGGGGGGCAAGCGUUGUUCGGAAUUACUGGGCGUAAAGGGCUCGUAGGCGGCCAACUAAGUCAGACGUGAAAUCCCUCGGCUUAACCGGGGAACUGCGUCUGAUACUGGAUGGCUUGAGAUUGGGAGAGGGAUGCGGAAUUCCAGGUGUAGCGGUGAAAUGCGUAGAUAUCUGGAGGAACACCGGUGGCGGAGGCGGCAUCCUGGACCAACACUGACGCUGAGGAGCGAAAGCCAGGGGAGCAAACGGG